rnacentral:rRNA from 1 species
CCUACGGGGGGCAGCAGUGAGGAAUAUUGGUCAAUGGACGAGAGUCUGAACCAGCCAAGUAGCGUGAAGGAUGACUGCCCUAUGGGUUGUAAACUUCUUUUAUAUGGGAAUAAAACGUUCCACGUGUGGGAUUUUGUAUGUACCAUAUGAAUAAGGAUCGGCUAACUCCGUGCCAGCAGCCGCGGUAAUACGGAGGUUCCGAGCGUUAUCCGGAUUUAUUGGGUUUAAAGGGAGCGUAGGUGGAUUGUUAAGUCAGUUGUGAAAGUUUGCGGCUCAACCGUAAAAUUGCAGUUGAAACUGGCAGUCUUGAGUACAGUAGAGGUGGGCGGAAUUCGUGGUGUAGCGGUGAAAUGCUUAGAUAUCACGAAGAACUCCGAUUGCGAAGGCAGUUCACUGGACUGCAACUGACACUGAGGCUCGAAAGUGUGGGUAUCAAACAGGAUUAGAUACCCCAGUAGUC